CCCUUAGAUGUUCUGGGCUGCACGCGUGUUACAAUCGGGAGUACAACAAGAUUGCAAAUCCUAGUGGAUGAGUGGUUCUUCGAAAUUUUCUGAAGACUGGGAUAGUUGAUUGAAAUUAUUCAACUCGAACGAGGAAUUCCUUGUAAUUGUAAUUCAUUAUAUUGUAAUGAAUACGUCCCUGCCCUUUGUACACACCGCCCGUCGCUCCUACCGAUUGAAUGAUCCGAUGAAUACCAUGGAUUGAGAGUUCGAAUAGGUUCGCCUAUUUCAGCUUCUCGAGAAGUGGAGUAAAUCUUAUCAUUUAGAGGAAGGAGAAGUCGUAACA
rnacentral:rRNA from 1 species